GCCUAGUUAGCUUAGUUGGUAGUGCGUCUGCCUUGUAAGCGCUAGGCCGCGGGUUCGAUUCCCGCCCGGGGCG
rfam:Asian citrus Psyllid, Diaphorina citri - Florida Strain, whole genome shotgun sequence.